AUUGAACGCUGGCGGCAUGACACAUGCAAGUCGAACGGCAGCACCGGAGCAAUCCUGGUGGCGAGUGGCGAACGGGUGAGUAAUACAUCGGAACGUGCCCAGUAGUGGGGGAUAACCCGGCGAAAGCCGGACUAAUACCGCAUACGACCUACGGGUGAAAGCAGGGGAUCGCAAGACCUUGCGCUAUCGGAGCGGCCGAUGUCAGAUUAGCUUGUUGGUGGGGUAAAAGCCCACCAAGGCGACGAUCUGUAGCUGGUCUGAGAGGACGACCAGCCACACUGGGACUGAGACACGGCCCAGACUCCUACGGGAGGCAGCAGUGGGGAAUUUUGGACAAUGGGCGCAAGCCUGAUCCAGCCAUGCCGCGUGCGGGAAGAAGGCCUUCGGGUUGUAAACCGCUUUUGUCAGGGAAGAAAAGCUCCGGGCUAAUACCUUGGAGUCAUGACGGUACCUGAAGAAUAAGCACCGGCUAACUACGUGCCAGCAGCCGCGGUAAUACGUAGGGUGCAAGCGUUAAUCGGAAUUACUGGGCGUAAAGCGUGCGCAGGCGGCUUUGCAAGACAGAUGUGAAAUCCCCGGGCUUAACCUGGGAACUGCAUUUGUGACUGCAUGGCUGGAGUGCGGCAGAGGGGGAUGGAAUUCCGCGUGUAGCAGUGAAAUGCGUAGAUAUGCGGAGGAACACCGAUGGCGAAGGCAAUCCCCUGGGCCUGCACUGACGCUCA
rnacentral:rRNA from 1 species